rnacentral:rRNA from 1 species
UACGAAGGGGGCUAGCGUUGCUCGGAAUCACUGGGCGUAAAGCGCACGUAGGCGGAUUCUUAAGUCAGGGGUGAAAUCCUGGAGCUCAACUCCAGAACUGCCUUUGAUACUGGAAGAUCGUUAGUUCGGGAGAGGUGAGUGGAACUGCGAGUGUAGAGGUGAAAUUCGUAGAUAUUCGCAAGAACACCAGUGGCGAAGGCGGCUCACUGGCCCCGGAUACUGACGCUGAGGCACGAAAGCGAUGG